GAAGCCCCUUGGGGGUGGUAAACUCCUUUCGAUCGGGACGAUUAUGACGGUACCGGAUGAAGAAGCACCGGCUAACUCUGUGC
rnacentral:rRNA from 1 species